AAAAAUACCUUUCAAGAUGCAGAUCUUCGUGAAAACCCUCACCGGAAAGACCAUUACCCUCGAGGUGGAAAGUUCAGACACCAUUGACAAUGUUAAAGCCAAGAUCCAGGACAAGGAAGGGAUUCCCCCAGAUCAGCAGAGACUCAUCUUUGCCAGGAAAUAGCUCGAAGAUGGUCGGACCCUCGCUGAUUACAACAUCCAGAAGGAGUCUACCCUUCACUUGGUCCUCCGUCUCCGUGGUGGUAUGCAGAUUUUCGUCAAGACCCUCACCGGAAAAACGAUCACCCUUGAGGUGGAAAGUUCAGACACCAUUGACAACGUUAAGGCUAAGAUCCAGGACAAGGAAGGCAUUCCUCCAGACCAGCAGAGACUGAUCUUUGCUGGAAAACAGCUCGAAGAUGGCCAUACACUCGCCGAUUACAAUAUCCAGAAGAAGUCCACUCUCCACUUGGUGCUCCGACUUUGCGGUGGGAUGCAGAUAUUUGUUAAAACCCUCACUGGAAAGACAAUUACACUUGAGGUUGAAAGGUCCGACACUAUUGACAACGUUAAGGCCAAGAUCCAGGACAAGGAAGGCAUUCCCCCCAACCAGCAAAGGUUGAUCUUUGCUGGGAAGCAGCUUGAGGAUGGCCGGACCCUCGCUGAUUACAACAUCCAGAAGGAGUCAAGUCUCCACUUGGUACUCCGUCUUCGCGGUGGGAUGCAGAUAUUUGUUAAAACCCUCACUGGAAAGACAAUUACACUUGAGGUUGAAAGCUCUGACACCACUGACAACUUUAAGGCCAAGAUCCAGGACAAGGAAGGCAUUCCCCCCCGACCAGCAAAGGUUGAUCUUUGCUGGGAAGCAGCUUGAGGAUGGCCGGACCCUCGCUGAUUACAACAUCCAGAAGGAGUCAACUCUUCACUUGGUCCUCCGUCUCUGUGGUGGAAUGCAGAUCUUUGUCAAAACCUUGGCUGGCAAGACUAUUACACUCGAGGUUGAAAGCUCCGACACCAUCGACAAUGUUAAGUCCAAGAUUCAGGACAAAGAGGGCAUCCCACCAGACCAGCAGAGGUUGAUCUUUGCGGGAAAGCAGCUUGAGGAUGGCCGUACCCUUGCUGAUUACAACAUCCAGAAGGAGUCAACCCUUCACUUGGUCCUUCGUCUUCGCGGUGAGAUGCAAAUCUUUGUGAAGACCUUGACUGGCAAGACUAUUACCCUUGAGGUGGAAAGCUCUGACACUAUGGACAAUGUUAAGGCCAAGAUUCAGGACAAAGAGGGUAUCCCUCCAGACCAGCAAAGGUUGAUUUGGAUGGAAGGACACUGUGCCGAUUACAAUAUUCAGAAGGAAUCGACCCUUCAUCUUGUUUUGAGGUUCAGGGGAGGUAUGCAGAUUUUUGUGAAGACCUUGACUGGGAAGACCAUCACUUUGGAGGUGGAGAGUUCUGAUACUAUUGACAACGUGAAGGCCAAAAUUCAGGACAAGGAGGGAAUCCCACCGGACCAGUAGAGGCUGAUCUUUGCAGGGAAGCAGCUCGAAGAUGGUAGGACUCUGGCGGACUACAACAUCCAAAAGGAGUCUACUUUGCACCUUGUCCUCCGUCUCCGUGGUGGUUUUUAGAGGGGUCUGUUGUCAGUGGUAGUGCCUGUGUCUUUUGGUCAGUUUGCAGCAGUGCUUUGUUCAUGAACUAGUUUGUUUGCUUGUGAUCUUCUGAUGUUUCCAAAGAUAGUCGAAAGGACUCGUAAACUCUCAUGUUUCUGUUUUAAUGAAUAAUAAUGUC